AGAACGAACGCUGGCGGCAUGCCUAACACAUGCAAGUCGAACGAAGGCUUCGGCCUUAGUGGCGCACGGGUGCGUAACGCGUGGGAACCUGCCCCUUGGUUCGGAAUAACAGUUAGAAAUGACUGCUAAUACCGGAUGAUGACUUCGGUCCAAAGAUUUAUCGCCGAGGGAUGGGCCCGCGUAGGAUUAGCUUGUUGGUGAGGCAAAAGCUCACCAAGGCGACGAUCCUUAGCUGGUCUGAGAGGAUGAUCAGCCACACUGGGACUGAGACACGGCCCAGACUCCUACGGGAGGCAGCAGUGGGGAAUAUUGGACAAUGGGCGAAAGCCUGAUCCAGCAAUGCCGCGUGAGUGAUGAAGGCCUUAGGUGUAAAGCUCUUUACCGGGAUGAUAAUGACAGUACCGGAGAAUAAGCUCCGCUAACUCCGCGCCAGCACGCCGC
rnacentral:rRNA from 1 species